AGAUCUGCUUGCAGAUUAAAGGAUUUGUUGGAAGAGAUCAGUGAUUCCGAGUACUUUAGAGAGGCACGUAGCAUCCCAGCGAAGGGAACAGAAAGAAGGUGUGAAGAAAUUUACAGCAAUUGUAAUAAAGGGUGCUUGCCUGCAAGAGCUGGGGAAAAAAAAUUACUGGUUUACCUUAAAAAUGUAACUCUGGAAGGUCAAGAGAAGGAAAGCAGCAAAUGUAGCUUCUGUUCUAAUUCUGUCCAUGAGGGCUUGGCAAGGCAGUGUGAACAUAGGCUUAAAAAGUCGUGUAAGAGGUCCAGUAGUAAAUUAAGACAUGAAGGACAGAAAAGUGAGAGACGAUCCGGGGAAGAGGAGACAAAUGCUUGCAAAAUGAAGAAAAAGCGCAAAAAGCUUUCUUCUAAUCUUUUAUCUGAUGAAUGUGGCUUUUCAGAGACGGACAGUUGCAUGCAGCUGGAGUCGCUCAGAAAGAUACAAAGAAAAUGUAAGAAAAUGUUCCACAACAAAGUGAAAUUCAAGACACUUCACACCUCCACGGCAGGAUCAGAUGUUACCCCUCAUGAUGGCUCGCCACUUCAGGAGACCCUCCAGCGGACAGGAGAUGAGAGGAAAUUAAUGUUGAGAAGAGAGAUGGAUGCAGAUGUCAGAGGAUGCCCUCUAUUUCCUCUUGAGUUAAUUCAGACAAACCCCUGCUCAGAUACUUUCUGUGGAGCAGAGCCCAGAAGAGGAUGCUAAACAGCUACUAUGUAAUAGCUCUUUUUAUAUAGAAAUGGGAGAAGAAAGCCCUUUGACUCUUAAAUGGUAUAUGAA